rnacentral:rRNA from 1 species
AUUGAACGCUGGCGGCAGGCUUAACACAUGCAAGUCGAGCGGAGAUGAGGUGCUUGCACCUUAUCUUAGCGGCGGACGGGUGAGUAAUGCUUAGGAAUCUGCCUAUUAGUGGGGGACAACAUUCCGAAAGGAAUGCUAAUACCGCAUACGUCCUACGGGAGAAAGCAGGGGAUCUUCGGACCUUGCGCUAAUAGAUGAGCCUAAGUCGGAUUAGCUAGUUGGUGGGGUAAAGGCCUACCAAGGCGACGAUCUGUAGCGGGUCUGAGAGGAUGAUCCGCCACACUGGGACUGAGACACGGCCCAGACUCCUACGGGAGGCAGUAGUGGGGAAAAUUGGACAAUGGGGGGAACCCUGAUCCAGCCAUGCCGCGUGUGUGAAGAAGGCCUUAUGGUUGUAAAGCACUUUAAGCGAGGAGGAGGCUACUGAGACUAAUACUCUUGGAUAGUGGACGUUACUCGCAGAAUAAGCACCGGCUAACUCUGUGCCAGCCGCCGCCGUAACAC